AAUAAGCGUGCCCCUUUGGAUGCUCCCAUCCUGCUGUUCUGCAGAUAAGCAAACAGGAAUUAGAGCAAUUAAAGGACUCGUCCCAGGCGGCAGGUGACGGUGCGGAGAGAGCAGUUCCGGGACAACAGCUCUCUUGCAGUGCCUACUAUGUGCCAUCCCUGGGUCCCACACGGAGGCGCAGAGACGGUGGGGGAAACAGGAGUGACAGGUUCAUCCUGCUUGCUUCCUCAAUGAUACAUAAACGGAAUCACCUAGUAUGUACUCUUUGGCUGGUUUUGUUUCCUUGACAUCCUAUUUAUGAAAUCUGCCCAUCAUUUUUUCUCUGGCAAUAAGAAUUCAUUACAGCUACAAUAAUUCCAUCUGGCAAGAAUUCAAUACAUUAUACCCUGACAUCAGGAAUCUGGACAGGGCUCAUCGGCACAGUUCUUCUGCCACCCACGGUUUCCAGUGAGACUGGUCGGUACUCUGGUCGGAGGAGGUGAAGACAGCUUCCUGCAGGUGUUUGAUGUCGCGAGGGGGACGGCCGGAAGGCGGGGCCCAGCCAGGACUGUGGACUGGAAUGCCUAGGUGUGGCCUCUCCAGCACAAUGGUCUCAGGUAGUCAGACUGGCUUCCCCCAAAGCAAGUGUCUGAGAUCCCCAAGCGGUGGCUGCUUCUGACUGAGCCUCAAAGUCCCACAGCAAAAACUUUCUCCCCCAUUCUAUUGGUUACGAGCAAGUCACGAGGCCAGCCCAGAUUUAAAGGGUGGGCAACGAGCCUCCACCUUUUCAUAGGGACAUGGCAAGAUCACACUGUAAAAGAGCAUGGGGGUGGGGGUGGUGACAUUAUUGUGGCCCUCUUUGGAAAAGACAGUUUGCCACGCUGUCCCCCCACCCCAGCCUGACAAAGUGAACAGUCAACCCGGCCACUGGAGGCCUGAGGACUCCUGAGGUGUCUGUGGCGGCCACCGGUCUCUCAUACUUUUUCUUUCCUUAUCUCCCUCUCUCACUCGCUUUCCUCCUUCCUCUUUGCACUUUGUUUUCUUAAUCCCUUCUCUUUCUUCCCACUUGCAGUUAACUAAGCCCACAGGGACUCCCCUCCCCCCGCCACCCACUCAUGUUUUAGGCCCUUCCUCCCGUUCUCUCCCCUCAGGUCUUCGAGCACUUUGCCCCGUGGGUGACAGAUUACUGGGACCCCUCGCACCGUAGCUGGACAAGCCCAGAAGGGUCUUGGCUAAUCCCAGAAGCACUUUACAUAUGAGGAAGUUGAAGCCUAGACAGGAGAGGGAUUUUCCCAAGUCCUAGUUCAAGUAAGAAACAGAGUUCUGGCCAGCACAGCACAAAAUAUAGCCCACAGCGGGUCUCAAAGAGUGUCAACACUUGUUUUUCCAUUUCUGACUUCCUGAAACUGAAGCUACUUGUUUCUGUUUCACGUUCACUGCCUCAAUAUUACAAUGUUCUUUCAGCCUCUUGGUCAAGGGGUGAAAUCGGUACUCUCAGGCGUCUUGCCCAGAGAGUCCUGUCCUAGCCCCGGCCCGGGUCCUGGCCUUCAGAAGUGGAGGUGGGGGGUUAGGGGGCUUGCAGAUGGAGCAGCCAGCCCCCCUCCAACCAUCUCAUUGCAACCCAGACACAAGUAGGUCCUUUCUGGUCCCGAAGUCCAAGAAUCGUCCGAACUCAAGCAACAACUAGCAGCCAGUUUGAACUUUUUCUGGGCAUCCAGAGAUGGUGAAUUUAAUUGAAGCUGAUCUGACUAAAGUCAGGCUGAGGACAAAUCUGCGGUGACCUAGGGCAAGAGGACAGGUCUGUGGCCAGGCCCAAGAGAAAGCAACUCCGUUACGUGAAAGUCAGUUUCCUGCCCUGGCUGGCAUAGCUCAGUGGAUUGAGCACAGGCUGCGAACCAAAGCAUUGCAGGUUCGAUUCCCAGUCAGGGCAC